rnacentral:rRNA from 1 species
CCUGGUGGUUAUCGCGGGGCGGCUGCACCCGUUCCCAUUCCGAACACGGCCGUGAAACGCCCCAGCGCCAAUGGUACUCCGUCUUAAGACGCGGGAGUCCCAUUCCGAACACGGCCGUGAAACGCCCCAGCGCCAAUGGUACUCCGUCUUAAGACGCGGGAGAGUAGGUCGCUGCCAGGU